AGCAGUCAGUUAGUUAGUUCGUUAGUUCGUAACGUGCAGUAACAAUAAUAUCCGAGAGCACAGUUAGUUGAUAGUUAGCAGUUCAAAGUAAUAAUUCACGCCGUGCGCAGUUCGAAAUUCAAUUCAAGUACAAGUACUAAAAUCCGCGAAUAUAAUCCGCGAAGUACCUUUCCGAGUUCAAUCCUCAAAAAUCUACACGACUCUGCUACGAAAGCUCAGUGCUUCGAUAGAGCAAGAUUCCGUAAACUUCAAUUGUAAAAACGCUAGCGAAUCGAAAGACUGUACCAGUAGUGAAUAAACAUACUUGUGAUCGGAAGUGCGUGAUCUUCACUCGAACCAUCUACCCUACCGUUCCAAUACCUGGACGACUCACCCCAACAGGUCUUAUUCGAAGAUAGGUUCUACUCGCCAAGUGAAAGGGAAGUGAGGACAGCGUUUUAAAGUUUGCACAAGGGUGGUUAGUACGCACGAGAUAAUCUUAAAAAAAGAAGUUACUGUUGGACUCGCGCUUGGCCAACAGGAAGAUGCUCAAAUCUUCGGGUAUUAUCAAACAAGACCCGUAAACGGUAGUAAUCCGGGAAUGCCGAUGUAUCGUGUAGGACCACCAAGUUUAACUACAGCUUCUUUCCCGAAACGAAUCGAAUAAACACUAAUCACCAGGAGGCACGCGUCGCCUAUCCAAGCGAGGCACCCGAGUGAGUGAAUAAGUGCCAAUUAAAACAACUAAAGUGAACAACAAAAAUUUCUAAAUUCCAAAAUCUCAGAAUCCUGAAUCCAAAAAUUUUAGAAUUUCAGUAUUUGAAUAUUCCAAAACUCCAAAGCACCCCACAGAAUUCUUAUGAAGAAUAGCUUUUGUCCAAUUUUUCUGAAAUUGCAAUAUAAUAAUUCCCUGUAGAACAAAAACGUCAAUGGGCACUAAGUCCGAGGGACAGUACUUGUCAAUAAAAAAUAUAGUUUUAAGCAGACAAAUGCAUCGAGGACGCAACGUUACACCUACCACCCUCCACAUAAAGAGAAGAAAAAGACCUAACCUAGAUGGGCUGUAUUCCGAAAAGUACUGUCCCUCGUACUUUGUGCUGAUUGGCACUAUUAACUUUUUGAGCGCUAUGAACACUGUAACAUGGUGGCACGAGCGCCCCCCGUUAUAAUAGCCAAGAUUUCGCCCGCCACGCGCCUGUCUCCUUAACACCCCUUUCCCUAACCCUACCCCCUUCCCCCACCCGCCGGUAUUGGGCCGAUAAAGGCGACGGAAGGAAAUGAACAACGACGCUGCGAAAAUGGAGACCCCACCCCGAGGCCGACGACGUCCCGCAUCGGCAAGGAGCAACCCAAUCCAAAUCGCCAAAACGACAUCGUGGGGUCAUCUACCCGCAGCCCAGCAUCGACGAACCUUCGUCAGCCCUAUCGAUCCCGAUCACCGGCCAAUCCCCAAUCGAUGGAUCCCUAGUCCCAAUUAGCGCCCCACCUAAAAGACAGACCCAAUCCCCGACCCGAAUCCCCUCUCCAAAAUUCCGUGCGACAGGCUCGUCGUCACCGCGACAGCGACGAGUGAGCAUUAGAGAUUUGUUAGCGGGCGUAUACUUGUAUAGUGUGUGUGGGCAGUGUGUUGCAGCAUUGGUGAGCCCCUCAAGAUACCCCUUUUGUAAUUCCGAGUUCCAGCAACGGCUAUCUUCUGCGUCCGCGUAUUUCUAAUCCGCGAUCGUUAUACCCUUUUUCCAACCCCAUUCUACGACUUCCCUAUUGUUUCCCGUUCUGGACGCGUAACGUAACGAACCUCCCUAGAACCCUUCACCCCCGAGAUUUUCCUUCCCAAGCGCCUCCUCUCCUUGCGUACUCCCCCGCGUAUAGUGUGACGGGAGACCACGGUCGAGCCGCGAGUCCCCUUCUCUGUGAAAGACCCCCGAUUUUCCCCCUUUUCGAUUGCCACGAAACGUGGCUGGCGCCCAACGUAUUGUAAAGAUUUUUGUGAGAAAUUAUGGAGUGCACCCCCGCAAGAAGGUCUACAGAACACAUACAUGCGUUCGGGAAAAUCGUUCACCAUGGGCUAUGAACGCAUAUAUGGGUUCUCACAUAACCAUUCAAUCUGGACUAUAAACGCAUAUAUGCGAUUGAUGAUUGUAAGCCUAGAGAUAUAAAAACAUAGUAAGAAUGCGUUUAAGUGUGCUUUUGUGCAAUGCGCGUUGUCGUAAAAAGUGUGCAGCCCACAGCACACGUUUAACGUCGCACAACUCAGCGUUCCAAGGUUUAAAUUGUAAAGUUUCAGAAAAAUUGGCCAUAAGCCAUUCUCCAUAAGAAUUUCGCGUGAUCGUUGUAAAAUUCCGGAAUUUCAAAAUUUCCAAGAGAUCCGAUCCUCCUCAGAAAAAAA